GCUUCGCCGAAUAUAGUCUGGUCAAGUAUUCCGGCCUUUCGAGCCGGAGGUCGCGGGUUCAAAUCCCGCCCGGAGCA
rnacentral:tRNA from 1 species